UACGUAGGGGGCUAGCGUUGUCCGGAUUUAUUGGGCGUAAAGAGCGUGUAGGCGGCCAGGUAGGUCUGGUGUGAAAACUCGAGGCUUAACCUCGAGAUGUCAUCGGAAACCAUCUGGCUAGAGUCCGGAAGAGGAGAGUGGAAUUCCUGGUGUAGCGGUGAAAUGCGCAGAUAUCAGGAAGAACACCACUGGCGGAAGCAGCUCUCUGGGACGGUACUGACGCUGAGACGCGAAAGCGUGGGGAGCGAACAGG
rnacentral:rRNA from 1 species